rnacentral:tRNA from 1 species
GGCGCAUUCGUCUAGAGGCCCAGGACACAGCCCUCUCAAGGCUGAGACACGAGUUCGAAUCUCGUAUGCGCUA